rnacentral:rRNA from 1 species
GCUGGNGGCGUGUUCAACACAUGCAAGAAAAACGAACCUUCGGGUUAUUGGCGGACGGGUGAGUAACGCUUGAUACUCUGCCCUCAGGAGGAAGAUAACGGUUGGAAACGACCGCUAAUACCCCAUAUGCCGAGAGGUGAAAAGAAAUUCGCCUGAGGAUGAGCUCGCGUCUGAUUAGCUAGUUGGUGUGGUAAUGGCGCACCAAGGCUUCGAUCAGUAGCUGGUCUGAGAGGAUGAUCAGCCACACUGGGACUGAGACACGGCCCAGACUCCUACGGGAGGCAGCAGUG